ensembl:lncRNA
CUUUAAUAGUCAAAGGUCAAAAAUCCAAAAGGCCAAGGGGCAAAAACACACAGGCAUGCAACUACAGAUAGCCACAACAAGGGACACGGACAUGCGUGACGAAAGACAGUGACGCGACAAGUGACACAGGAGACACACGGCUUAAAUACACAAGGGAGGUGCAGGUGAUUGGACACAGGUGGAAACUAUUAGACGAUCACAGGGGAUGACGAGACAAGGCAGGAAGUGAAGUUACCCGGGGACACGAGUGGCAGAAAACUACAAAAUACAACAGGAAGUGAACCACACCGUGACACAGACAGGACACAAGACAACAAUAAAAUAAAAUAUAAUGCUACGGGUUAGUUUAAAAUAAAGGAAUAUGAGUUUAAAAAGUUUAAAAUAUUUUAAAAUCAAAAAUAAAGUGCACCAGCGAAGUGAAAGUGACGUGAGUGACAGGUGGGAUGUCAGAGUCAGUCAGUGACGGACCGGCUCUGAUGAGCCCGACUGCCGACGGGAAGAAACUGCUUCCCAUCGGUCUCCAGGGUCUCAGUUUGGUCCAAUCAGGAUGGUUCAUGUGUGUCUGAGCUGAUCAAUAAACAGGAGACGAAGCUGAGAUCCUGAAGGAGGACAGAAAGUAGAGGAGAGAGUUUCCGUUGUGACGUCACAAACAUGGCACCCACCCAUCCCACGUCAGCUUGUUUUUCCUAUAAAAACGGUAAUAACGAGGAAGGAUCUGUUGGUCUAAGUACAAGUCGUGUGGCCCCCCCUCUGAGCCGGAUUUACUCUGCCCCCCCACUCCUGGAGGCACAUCGUUAAUGUUUAUGAAUGAUUCUCCUGAUAGUACGGCUUCUUCUGCGGCUUCAAUGUUUCAUCUCAUGGAACACAAUCGUCUUUCAGCGUUGAUAAUCAUCUUAGAGGAAACCGUGUGGAAUUAAAUUCAGGUUGCACAACGACGGCGCACAAAGAUGCACAAAGAUGGCUGCCUCGGUUUCCAGAGGAGGUGCCAGCGUAAAUGUGCAAAACAGACAAACAGGACCAACAGGUACGGCGGGAUGCUUCAGGUUUCCUCGCCAACCCUGAAGAUUGUCGCUGCGCCGUGCGCCUGUGUCCUCCCCCAACGUGUCUUUGUACCGGGCCGCUGUCCGACUUACCAGAACCUACUUCUCCACCCUGGAGAUCUACGGGAGCUCCCACAGGGGAAGGAAGCCUUGUGGCUGGAAGCUAUUCUCCUUCCACUGUUCCGUCCUUCAGCCCCUUACUCUGGCUUCUCCCAUAAAAACUAAGUAUUCACAUUCACAGAAGGUCAAUGCACACGUUGGAGGAUUUGUUGGUCUGAGUAAAGUCGGUGUGGCCCCCGUCUGAGUAGCAUUGACACUGUCAGCUCUGCCAGGAGUCACAUCUUUAAUAUUAAUGAUUAUUAAGGAUCAUUCUGAUAGCUGAUUUCUAGCUCUGACCGGCUUCUUCUGCACAGUUUUGUUGCUUUGCAGCAGCGACCAGGAAGGAGUGAGAGUUUCAGGAAUGUUUCCUCUGUGCUCAUGAACCACAAAACUCUCUUUCAGCGUUGAUAAUCAUCUUAGAGGAAACAAUGUGGAAUUAAAUUCAGGUCGCACAACAACUGCGCACAAAGAUGCACAAAGAUGGCUGCCUCAGUGCGAUGGUGGUGUUUGUUUUUUCUAUUGUUAAUUCUGUUUUCUGUUGGGAUUCCCGGAGCGCCUUCUCCAGAAAUGAGCUGUGCUGUGUUAAGUUAGUAAAAUUAUGAUUGUAUAGUGACCAAGUUAACGUUAACAUAUUUGACGUAGCAAUAAAUUACAACUGGAACGUGAUUAACGUUAAUCAUGAACGCCAUGAAACUUUAAACUUGCUUCACUUACACUUGAGGCAGAGCGUCGUCACGACGAGACGCCAUUGUUUGCUGACCUCUGACCCCGUUGCAUUGCAAGCUGCGAAGGCUCGUGGGGAGGGGAGGGGGGAGCUGCGCUCAUGUGAUUGAUUGAAAUGAGGGCGACAUCUGAUUGGCUACAGACAGGGUCCAUGUUGAAAAAAACGCAUUUGUGGAUCUGCGACGUAAGACGAGUCUCAAAAACCCCACACACAUGUGAAGCGAUCCGCAAAUAAAUACAGAUUGAUCUGCAAAUAUAAAUCGUAAUUCAUUGAUCGGUGCAUUGAAAUGUAUUUGUAAAUCCUUCUGUGUGCAUUUGUAAAUCGAAUACAUUUGUAAAUUGUUCCGCAUUUGUGAGUCGUUCAGUGUGUAUUUGCAUUUAUUGAGAGCAGGGCUGUAGUGGAGGGUAAACGCACGUAAACGCCGUUUACCCACCUCUGGAAUUUUGGAAAUAGCGUUUACGCACCUCUAAAUAGCGUUUACGCACCUCAAAGUUCCCUGCGCCUUGUAUUCUUCCGUUGGAAUAAUCCGAAAUAAACUUGGUGUAAUUUUAAAACAGCUAAGACUACGUUUCCUAUUGUUGAACAUAUAAACGCUGUAGUCUGAAUCAUGUUCAUCUGCGCUGUAUUACGGUCUGUGAGCAUCCAAUCAGCGCCUUGCGGCUGCAGCAGCGACCAAUCAGGAUCCAGGAGGUGUGUAAACACACGGAUCAGCCCAGUGGUCCCCAACCUUUCUUACCUCACGGACCGGUUUCAUGUCAGACAAUAUUUCGCGGACCGGUCGAGAAGGUCCGACGGGGGGUAGUAGUCGCGCGCUCUGUGUUCGCUGGGCGUGCACGGUAAAAGGAAAACGCCAGUGACGCGCGCACAUAAUUAGGAGAAAAUCCAGUCAAUGUUCAAAGGCUCUGCCUCCCCUGUCAUCAUGAGCGGGGAGCAAAGCUGUUGCUUCACUGAAUAGGCCUAUAUGCUUAAUCAAUUAUUUGAAGUCAUGAAAGGUGUAGAGUCGCCUGUAAGCGUUAGAAAACAAGUCAGUUCUCAAUGUGAAAACAAAACAUGCUGUAGGCUAUUUAUGAUGACGUAGGUAGUACAUGAGUGUUCCUUUAACUCAUGUUGUCAGUGUAAUUGACAGGCUGCUUAACUGGUUAACUCUUAAAUUCAACAUAUUUUUUCCGGCAGUGAGAGGACAGGCAAUGAU